rnacentral:misc_RNA from 1 species
AGCUGAGACAAGCACAAAUCAGGAGCUUUUACGGCCCAACGUCAACGUUCACCCUCAGCCGGGGGAGGUUUCAGUUCAAGUUGGGGAAACUACGAGGAGGCAGGAGCCAAGCACAGAUUGGAUCAGCCCAUCAACAGCUGGAGUGGGCGGGGCGAUGACCAUAUAUGGUGUUUUGUUUAAAGCAGCCGUCAUGGGGAAUAUCCACACUGUUGGGCCAAAUGAAGCCCUCAUAGUUUCAGGAGGGUGGUGCGGCUCCCAACAGAAGCGGACCAUCGUCGGCGGCUGGGCCUGGGCCUGGUGGGCCGUCACCGACGUCCAGUCACUCAGCCUCGAGACGAUGACGCUGAACCCGAUGUGUGAGCGCGUGGAGACGGCGCAGGGCGUGCCGCUCACCGUCAACGCCGUGGCCCAGUGCAAGAUCAUCAAACAGGACGACAUCCUGAAGACGGCCUCCGAACAGUUCCUCGGAAAGUCGGUGGAGGACAUCGAGCUUACCAUACUGCAGACGCUCGAGGGACACCUGCGGGCCAUCCUCGGAACGCUGACCGUGGAGGAGAUAUUCAAGGACCGGGACCAGUUCGCCGCCCUGGUGCGCGAGGUGGCCGCCCCGGACGUCGGACGCAUGGGUGUGGAGAUCCUCAGUUUCACCAUCAAGGACGUGUACGACUCGGUGGAGUACCUCUCGUCGCUGGGUCGCACGCAGACGGCCGCCGUCAAGAGAGACGCCAACACCGGCGUGGCCAUGGCGCAGCGGGAUGCCGGCAUCCGGGAGGCCGAGUGCGAGCGCGCCGCCAUGGACGUCAAGUACAGUACCGACACCAAGAUCGAGGACAACACCAAGGCGUUCAAGCUGCAGAAGGCCCAGUUCGACCGGGAGGUCAACACGGCGAGGGCAGAGGCACAGCUCGCCUACGAACUGCAGGAGGCGAAAGAGAAGCAGAGAAUUCGAAACGAGGAGAUCUCCAUCGACAUCAUCGAAAGGAAAAAGCAGAUUCAGGUGGAGGAGAAGGAGAUUCAGCGUAAGGAGAAGGAGCUCACCGGCACCGUCAAGCUGCCCGCCGAGGCCGAGAGCUACAAACUGGAGGCGCUCGCAGAGGGUAAACGGUACCAGACGGUCGAGCUGGCCAAGGCCGAGGCGGAGACGAUUCGGCUGAUUGGCACUGCCGAGGCGGUCGGCAUCGAGGCGGUCGGGCGCGCCGACGCCGAGCGGAUGCGCAUGAAGGCGGCAGCGUACCGUCAGUAUGGCGACGCCGCCAUGGCGGCCAUGGUGCUGGAGGCGCUGCCCAAGAUUGCCGCCGAGAUCUCCGCGCCGCUCUCCAAGGUGGACGAAAUGGUGCUUCUGGGUGGCGAGGACAAGAUCACAUCGGAGCUGACACGGCUGGUCGGCCAGGUGCCGCCGGCGCUGAACGCCCUCACCGGCGUCGACCUCUCAAAGGUGCUGUCCAAGGUGCCGGGAGCGGAGGUGAAGUAAUCCGCUCCGACCGAGCAGCUCGGGCCGCCGCUGCCGCGCCGCCCUGGGGCCGGCAGCCGCGGCCGUCCUACCUCGGAUGGCGUAUGUCGACCGGGUGCUGUGCCGCCGCCGGGCGCCACGCAGCACGCGAAUCUCAUCCCUCAGCCUUGCCAAACCUAUCCCGCACCCGGGGGGGGGGGGGGGGCAGAAGCUUCCCCAUGCCCGUCCAUCGACGUCAAACAUAAGUACCUUGUCACACGUCGUUUUGACAUAUUCCUUUAAAAUUUUAACAAAAUCCGCCACAAAGUUUCUGAGAAAAUGAUGUUUUAGUGACGUCAAGUCACGCCGUUUUCGCUUCAAGGGCUGCAAAAAUUCAAACGACUUUAACACCUUCAAUUCUUAAUCACGAGGUAAAAAGAAUGUACGUGAUUUUACUAGAGGUAAAAAGAAUGCACGUGAUUUACUAGAGUUAAGAAGAAUGUACGUGAUUUUACUUUUUCAUUCAAUUGAAUGAAAUAAUGUUGUUAAAUUUCAAACUUUGAAAAUGUUCAAAAACCUAUUUCUUAGGAAAAGACCGCUAUAAAAUAAAAAUUUUGAAUUUAACGAAAGUUCAACUUCGAGAAGUAGGUACGGUCUGCGGCCUGCGCACCUAUAUUCCAAUUUUUAGAAGAUUUGGUUAAUUUUUUCGGAUUUCAGUAACGUCACGACGCACAAAAUUUUCAAAAACAAAUUUUAGGGACUUGCCUAAGUGCAGGAAUAAAAUGACAGUAUCGGAUUCGAUGUGAAAACUGCACCAGAUUGAUGCGUUUUUGGUCUCAAAAUCAACUAAAUAAUUUGGCCUCAAUUGACCUGACAUGGAAAUGAACUUCAUGCACAUAUGGUCAAUUUUACUAAUUAAGUAUGCCCAAUGCCCAUUGAGUUAUAUGCGUAAAACGACCCGGGAAGCAUGUGCUGCACAUAUCCUAUUCUAUAGUUCGUCUUUGGUGACUUGACCUGACCUUCACCUUAGCAAACAUUGUAUGCAAUGCUCAUGCAUUAUGGUUAAGAACGUAUUUUGGGUGACGAAUCUCAGUAAAUUCUUCGCCAACUGGGCUCCAAAGCUGGUACUGUAGAAACUCAGUAUUUUUUACCCUCGACCUGACCUGUGACUAACUUGGGCAGAACAAUUUGUUCUCAACUGUCAGACUUGUUGAGAGCUUUCAAUGGCCGUUUCACCCGCCUUUCUGAGACCAUCCUUUCGGAACAGCCCCCUCCCCCCCCCGCCCGUGGGCGCGCUAUGGGUGAAUAGUCGAGCGAGCGCGGGAUAAAAGGCAUUCUGGACCAUUCUGCAGCACAUAUAUGUGUAUCAACCUUGCCUUUGCUCGUUUAACGGUUUAAUCGAAUCCGCCACGAUAGAUCAGUUUACUAACGCUCAUUACGGGGUUUAGUAUAGGAGUCGCUUACCAGUAGAUUACCAGACAUGACAUAGCUAAUCGCACAAUAUUGCUGCCAUCGCCCCUUUUCAGUUAGUUGCGACGUCUCAACUCGCCUCCUGAAGUUGGUUUCGCACGCUAUUGUUCGGAAAACACCAUUCUUCUGCCGACUGUGAAGGCCAGCUGACUGCCGUACGUGCUACUUCAGUACACUCAGCGCGGCGUGCGGAGGGGUGUGUGCGCGCUGCCGGGAGUGCCUGCCGCCGCGCCGUGCCGCGCCGUGCCGUGUCGUGCCGUCCUGUUCCGUGUAGUCAGCCGGGGAGCGCGCGCCGUCGGGCCCUUGGUCAGUCACCAGAUCUGGCACACCUGGCCGGACGCUGCGCGCCCGUGUCGCCGGUCAUUUUAUCCCACCGCGAACGUGUUGAGCGGCUGGGCUCCUGGCCCGCCGAGUGAGCGGCUCAUGCUCUGCCGAGUGUACUAAACAAAUCCUAUAGCCAGGAUGGGAAUUUUCCAGUCUGUCUGUCGCCUUUAUCGGCAGCCCAGCUGUCUGGAAUGGAAGCACGCUUACGCAUGUUGACAUUAUCUUAGUUCUAGACUUGUGUAUUGCUGCGUAGGCCGCAGUGUACAUUUGACUGCAGAAUUGGAAUGAAGUACCACUUUCCACAGUCAAUCAGUUGUCCGGAGUGGUAGUCUGUGCCCCACGGGCAGAGUUCACAGUGACCCAGCUCUCAGCUUAAUUGCGUGAUGAACGGCACAGACAAGCGCUCCAGUCAACUGAUGGCUUCUGAAGAGUGGAACAUCUUUCUGUACCUAUCGACACCUUUUUUUAAACCCCACAUCUGCUCUCCCGUGAAUUUCCGGGAGGCACGAAAGAUCUCCUUUUAAAAGUGUCCAAUCGUCCGAUCCUGAUCAAAUAUGUGUGUUCGUAGGCUUGUUCUGGUAUUGCUUUAUCUGCCAAGACAGACAAACUUGAGAAAAAUCGAUUGAUUGUACCUUUUUUGAAGGUCUCUAACCAACUUGUCUGAAAUUCACCGGAGAACAAAUGUGGGGUUUAAAAAAAGGUGUCGAUAUAUAGUCAACCGUACAUAUGUUCUGGCGCCAAUGUUUUGCAUGUGUUGCAUGUGUUGCAUGUGCUGACUGCUGUUUUCGGGCAAGUAGCGGGCCUUUGCGGCGGAUGUCUGCGGGCGGCCAGGUUCGGCGCGCCGACGCGGGGGCGCGGCCCGGCCGCCAGACAUUGUUCGGUGGCUUGUCAAUGUGUGCUGGGAUUGUUUAGUGGCUUGGCAGUGCGUGCUUGGCCGGCGGCUAGUCAAUACAAAGCGUCUGGGCCGCCGCUCGGUGGCCGGCCGGCGUAUAUGUAUACCAAUCGACAGGGAAUAUGAAAGGUGAAGUGCCUGGGUGUGGUGAAUAAUGACUAGUUUUGGUCGAG